AUUGAACGCUGGCGGCAGGCCUAACACAUGCAAGUCGAGCGGAUGAAGGGAGCUUGCUCCUGGAUUCAGCGGCGGACGGGUGAGUAAUGCCUAGGAAUCUGCCUGGUAGUGGGGGAUAACGUCCGGAAACGGGCGCUAAUACCGCAUACGUCCUGAGGGAGAAAGUGGGGGAUCUUCGGACCUCACGCUAUCAGAUGAGCCUAGGUCGGAUUAGCUAGUUGGUGGGGUAAAGGCCUACCAAGGCGACGAUCCGUAACUGGUCUGAGAGGAUGAUCAGUCACACUGGAACUGGGACACGGUCCCGACUCCUACGGGAGGCAGCAGUGGGGAAUAUUGGGCAAUGGGCGGAAGCCUGGUCCAGCCAUGCCGCGUGUGUGAAGAAGGUCUUCGGAUUGUAAAGCACUUUAAGUUGGGAGGAAGGGCAGUAAGUUAAUACCUUGCUGUUUUGACGUUACCAACAGAAUAAGCACCGGCUAACUUCGUG
rnacentral:rRNA from 1 species